GGUCAAGCGAAUAAGCGCACACGGUGGAUGCCUUGGCGGUCAGAGGCGAUGAAGGACGUGGCAGCCUGCGAAAAGUAUCGGGGAGCUGGCAACAAGCUUUGAUCCGGUAAUGUCCGAAUGGGGAAACCCACCCGCUUGCGGGUAUCCUGCAGUGAAUACAUAGCUGCUGGAAGCGAACCUGGUGAACUGAAAUAUCUAAGUAACCAGAGGAAAAGAAAUCAACCGAGAUUCCGUAAGUAGCGACGAGCGAACGCGGACUAGCCCUUAAGCUGAUUUGGUUCUAGGAAAACGCUCUGGAAAGAGCGGCCAUAGAAGGUGAUAGCCCUGUAUCUGAAAGGGCCAUUUCAGUGAAGACGAGUAGGGCGGGGCACGUGAAACCCUGUCUGAACAUGGGGGGACCAUCCUCCAAGGCUAAAUACUACUGACCGACCGAUAGUGAACCAGUACCGUGAGGGAAAGGCGAAAAGAACCCCGGAGAGGGGAGUGAAAUAGAACCUGAAACCGUGUGCGUACAAGCAGUAGGAGCUCCGCAAGGAGUGACUGCGUACCUUUUGUAUAAUGGGUCAGCGACUUACUGUUCGUGGCAAGCUUAACCGUAUAGGGGAGGCGAAGGGAAACCGAGUCUGAUAAGGGCGCAUAGUCGCGGGCAGUAGACCCGAAACCGGGUGAUCUAGUCAUGCCCAGGGUGAAGGUGCGGUAACACGCACUGGAGGCCCGAACCCACUCCCGUUGCAAAGGUAGGGGAUGAGGUGUGAUUAGGAGUGAAAAGCUAAUCGAACCCGGAGAUAGCUGGUUCUCCUCGAAAGCUAUUUAGGUAGCGCCUCAUAUGUAUCCUCUCGGGGGUAGAGCACUGUUAUGGCUAGGGGGUCAUCGCGACUUACCAAACCAUUGCAAACUCCGAAUACCGAGACGGACUGUAUGGGAGACACACGGCGGGUGCUAACGUCCGUCGUGAAAAGGGAAACAACCCAGACCCACAGCUAAGGUCCCAAAUUCACUGCUAAGUGGAAAACCAUGUGGAAAGGCACAGACAGCCAGGAGGUUGGCUUAGAAGCAGCCACCCUUUAAAGAAAGCGUAAUAGCUCACUGGUCGAGUCGGUCUGCGGGGAAGAUUUAACGGGGCUAAGCAGUGAACCGAAGCUUGGGGUNGGUAGAGGAGCGUUCCGUAAGCCGUUGAAGGUGGAUUGAGAAGUCUGCUGGAGGUAUCGGAAGUGCGAAUGCUGACAUGAGUAACGAUAAUGCGGGUGAAAACCCCGCACGCCGAAAGCCCAAGGUUUCCUUGCGCAACGUUAAUCGGCGCAGGGUGAGUCGGCCCCUAAGGCGAGGACGAAAGUCGUAGUCGAUGGGAAGCAGGUUAAUAUUCCUGCACCUCGCGUAAGUGCGAUGGAGGGACGGAGAAGGUUAGGUGUACCAGGCGUUGGUUGUCCUGGGGAAAGGCGGUAGGUUUGGAUCUUUGGCAAAUCCGGGAUCCUUUAAGACCGAGCACCGAGACGAGCCUUUAAGGCGAAGUCACUGAUACCACGCUUCCAGGAAAAGCUCCUAAGCUUCAGCUUACGCAGACCGUACCGUAAACCGACACAGGUGGGUAGGAUGAGAAUUCUCAGGCGCUUGAGAGAACUCGGGUGAAGGAACUAGGCAACAUGGCACCGUAACUUCGGGAGAAGGUGCACCCUUUUUGGUGGCUCGUGCGAGCUAUAGCUGAAGAGGGUCGCAGUAACCAGGCCGCUGCGACUGUUUAUCAAAAACACAGCACUCUGCAAACACGAAAGUGGACGUAUAGGGUGUGACGCCUGCCCGGUGCUGGAAGGUUAAUUGAUGGGGUCAGCCGCAAGGCGAAGCUCUUGAUCGAAGCCCCAGUAAACGGCGGCCGUAACUAUAACGGUCCUAAGGUAGCGAAAUUCCUUGUCGGGUAAGUUCCGACCUGCACGNCCAGUAAACGGCGGCCGUAACUAUAACGGUCCUAAGGUAGCGAAAUUCCUUGUCGGGUAAGUUCCGACCUGCACGAAUGGCGUAACGACAGCGGCGCUGUCUCCACCCGAGACUCAGUGAAAUUGAAAUCGCUGUGAAGAUGCAGCGUUCCCGUGGCAAGACGGAAAGACCCCGUGAACCUUUACUAUAGCUUUACACUGAACGUUGAGUUCGUCUGUGUAGGAUAGGUGGGAGGCUAUGAAACUGUGGCGCUAGCUGCAGCGGAGCCAUCCUUGAAAUACCACCCUGUCGUGCUUGACGUUCUAACCUGGGCCCAUUAUCUGGGUCGGGGACCGUGUAUGGUGGGUAGUUUGACUGGGGCGGUCUCCUCCUAAAGAGUAACGGAGGAGCUCGAAGGUACGCUCAGCGCGGUCGGACAUCGCGCACUGUGUGCAAAGGCAUAAGCGUGCUUGACUGCAAGAUCGACGGAUCAAGCAGGUAGGAAACUAGGACUUAGUGAUCCGGUGGUUCUGUAUGGAAGGGCCAUCGCUCAACGGAUAAAAGGUACUCCGGGGAUAACAGGCUGAUACCGCCCAAGAGUUCAUAUCG
ncrna:length=2542